ensembl:lncRNA
CGGCCACCCGGACCGUGCGCACGUCCGCCAGGCCCGCAUCCUCACAGCAGCCACCUGCCGCCCGGGGACCACGACAGCCUCGUGGGCAGACGACCCGGCUGGGGGUCCUGACCCGGGAAGGGACGUGCGGGCGCGGCGGCGCGGGGCCCGGGGUGUGCCGGCGUGGCCCCAGGCUGCACCCCAUGCACGGCUUACCGGACGCGAGCCGCGCCUGCCCAGGAGCCCGCUGCCCCCUCCGCUCUGCGGCUGAGACCACCCGCCCCUCCCUCCAAACCAGCGUCACGUGGUCCCGUUUCCCAGAGCCGCCUGCACGCACAGGAAAGCAACUGUCUUUCUCAGCAUAGAACCAGUAAAAUUGCUGGGACCCUGGAGGGGACUCGAUCAGCUCAGUAUUUGUACUUGUUAAUUUGGUCAAGUUCUCUAGUCCUUAAGGCAACUGAUAUUUUCUAGUAAGUAAUCUGAUAUCUGAUGUCUUUCUAGGAAUGAAUCCAUGCCAUUUAAAUUUUUGAUUACUAGCAUAUUUAUGCUUAUAUCUUUUUUUAAAACAAGGUCUGAUUAUGUAGCACAGGCUGGCCUCAAACUGCGAUCCUCCUGCCUCAGCCUCCCGAGUGCUGAGAUUACAGGUGUGCACCGAUAUGCUUGGCCUAUGCUUAUGUUUAUUGUUUUGCACUUACUUCCUUUUGUUCUGUAUUUUAUUUGCAUUUUUAGUAUACUUUUAAAUAUUUUCAGAGGUCCAAUUUUUAGUUUUGUUAAUCUUCUCAUCUUUCCUUUUAUUUCAUGUAUUUCUGUCCUCAUCUAUUAUUUCCUUCCUUUAGCUUCCUUGAAUUUGAUCUUUGGCUCUGCCUUCAGCUAUGUGCUUAUCUCCCUUUAAAUUUUUCAGUUUUUGGAGGCACCUCUUAAAGCUACAAAAGUCCUUCUAUAGCACCGCCUUCAAUGGGCCUCACAGAUUUGUCUAGAAUGUUUUCAUUAUCACCCAGAUCUACCUCUUACUGUCCUGCACGAUCUCCCUGGAAACCCAUGGGUUAUUUAGUAACAUCAUUUACUUCUCAGUAGUAUUUAUUGUAACCUUUGGUUUCUAAUUUAGUGGCAUUAUUUUCAGAGACAAAGUGUACUCAGUCAAGAUGCUGGCAGGAGGCAGUUGGCACUCAAACUGGGUAAUCUGAGUGUUUGACAGAGAGACCAUUAACACAGGUGUGGGCAGGAGGUCAGAGUCCCAGGGCCUGGCGGCUUCCAGCAGCCUUCAGCCUACAGGGGAGGAGGUACAGCCCUGAAGGGAGAGGACAGCACCCCACUGCCUCCCCUGAGCUGAAUGUGAAGGGGAGCUGGAGCAGGAGCUCCUUGCAGCACAGUGCACUUAGGGCUCUCCCAAACAACGGGCAAAGGAACCACAUGCACAAACAAGCGGGAGUCCGUGUCUGUGUGGGGCUGCAGCUCUGGGACCCAAGGCCUCCUUGGGUCCUAAUAUGGGGUUCAUCUCUAUGAAUGCUCUAUCUGUGCACCAAACAGUAUCUUUGCUGUGUGGUGAGGACAGUUUUGUAUAUAUUUACUAGUUCAAGAUUACUAAUUAUAUUGAUCAAGGGUUGAGGAUCUUUGCUAAGUUUUGUCAGCUUGAGCUGUUAAUUUUAUUUUAAUGAAAACCUGGGGGCAGGGCAUUUAGCUCAGUGGUUCCAGCGCCUGCCUCAAAAGCGCAAGGUCCCAAGUUCAAUCCCCGAUACCAAAAAAAAACCCCUGAAUUAUAAGCUAAAGAUGUAGCUCAGAUUUAGAGCUUUUCUAGCAUGCACAAACCCUGAUGUGAUCCCCAGCACCACACACACACUCACACGCACACUCACACGAUCUCCAGUUACAAUUGGAGGAUUGUACUUCUCCCCGGCCCUGCAGAUGUUGCUGGGUAUGUAUCGAGAGCCAAUCUCUUAGACGUUUAAGUGGGUUUGAUGGAUGUACAGUGCCAUUCUGUGGCUCCUUUCAUCAAUAGGCAUGUGUGUCCUUCUUUGUCUAUUGUUUUGGGAUGUGAAACAAUUUCUUUUUGCUUUAGAUUUGAGUGUUGUAUAUUAAGAUGUCGGCCUCGUUUCCUGUCGUUCAUAUUUGCCUGGUAAGUCUUUGGCUAACUUUUUCAUAUUAAAUUUCUUAGAUCUUUUUUAAAGUGUAUCUUUUAAAGUAACUCACUGUUGGAAUGUUUAAGUCUAUAGUUUCUACCUAUAAGUGGAACUUAAUCCACUUACAUUUAGAGGAAUUACUUUAAUUACAGCAAUUAUUGACACCUAUUUAUUAUUGACACCUAUUUUGUCAUCUUAUUUAAAACUUCUGCUUAAUAUUGUCCAUAUUUCUCACUAAACAUUUGAGUUGUCUUCUACUGGUCUAUGCUUAUUUUUAUUCUCCAGCAAUUGCCUUGAAUUUAAGACUCUUUUUUGUCUACCUGAUACAUUAGCUUCGUGUUAUUCUAAAGAAACAUCCAAGGCAAUAACUUAGGCGGAGAAAAGGUUUGUUUUGGCUCACAGUUCUGGAGGUUCCAUUGCAAGGCCCGUAGCCUCAGGCUUUGCGCCUCUGUUGUGGGCAGGACAGUUUCCAAGCAUAUGUGAGCAAACCACUGCAUGACAAGGCAGGACGCAAAUAGAAAGGCUGAGGCACUGUGUCCCGCAGCCCACUUCCAGGCAGGCUUCUAAGUGACCUAAGGACCUGUCACCAGGCCCUGCCUUCCGAAGGUCCACGGCACCUCCCAACAGCACCCCAGACAGGUCCCCUGACACAUGGCGCCUAGAGGAUCUCCAGGCGCGUGCUAGAGCACCUCUUGAGCUGACGUGGGCGUGCCUGAGCCUUCCCUCGUGGCCCUGCAGCUUGCACCCAGCACCUCCCCUUAUGCCUUCUAACUCUGCCUUCUGGCCAGCGGGGACGGGAUUCAGGGCUGUCGCCAUCCUCUCCGUGGCCCUCGGCCUGGGUCCCACCCCUUCUUUGGGACACGCAUGGGGCUUCACUGCAGCCGUGUGAGUCCUGGUCUUCAGCAGGUCCCCUUGGGUCACGCCUCCGAUGUGCUGUGGAAGCGUGCUCACCUGAGAGCCACGCUCCUCACUCCCCUGUGGACCCCAAACAACCAAGUGGGGGGCUCACUUUGCACGAAGCCUGCCACAGCAGCUGUAGGGCUGUGGCUCCAAACGCAAGCCCCACUGACCACCAGCCCCAGCUGCUGCCCUUGGGAUCCCCCUUGGUAUUAAAGCAUGGCCACCUCCUCCUGGCCACUCCCAGUCAAAGGUGGGGUGCAGCAGGGUCCUCGUGCUGACCUUUCCCGCCCACUGCCAACUCCUCUGCUGGACAGUGCCAUCAGGACCUGAAACAGCCUGGCCAGGACCUCUGGGAAAGGGACCCUGGCCUGGGACCAUCCACCCCGGCCUCCUCCAGCAUCUGUCUCCAUGCGCUGCCUCCUGUCAAUCAUAGGCACAACCCCCACCUCAGCCCAUCUCAGCCUCCGCUUCUCAGAGGGCUGCUCACGCUCACCCUGGGAACGUGUCUCUCUCCAUGUCCUCAGGGGCCCAAGGCAGGACAAAGGCACAGGUCCAGGACACAGAGCGGCCUCCAGGGCUCGAGGACCCUGCUCCCCUCUGUCCCAAGGCCUCUCUUGCUCUGCACUUGCUGUGUGGGGUGUUUCUGAUUUGCUAUUUGAUGUCAUUCUUAGUAAAGAAAAAUUAAAAUUUUGACAUUGCUAGCAUGAGUUUUACCCUUCAUUUUUAAAGUGUAGAGUGCCAUUGUAGAUGCACAGAUAAGAGCAGAAACAUGGAGAUUCCAC